CGCGGUGUAGCCCCGUUUCGGACACUCUCUGCAGCCGGUCACAAGCCCCAAAGAGAAGC
rfam:Leptosomus discolor contig54798, whole genome shotgun sequence.